CAGUCGCCGCGGGAAUACAGAGGGUGCGAGCGUUAAUCGGAUUUACUGGGCGUAAAGCGUGCGUAGGCGGCUAAUUGAGUCGGAUGUGAAAUCCCCGAGCUUAACUUGGGAAUUGCAUUCGAUACUGGUUAGCUAGAGUGUGGGAGAGGAUGGUAGAAUUCCAGGUGUAGCGGUGAAAUGCGUAGAGAUCUGGAGGAAUACCGAUGGCGAAGGCAGCCAUCUGGCCUAACACUGACGCUGAGGUACGAAAGCAUGGGGAGCAAACAGGAUUAGAUACCCCUGUAGUCCCUGUCUCUUAUAA
rnacentral:rRNA from 1 species